rnacentral:rRNA from 1 species
GAUGAACGCUGGCGGCGUGCCUAAUACAUGCAAGUCGAGCGAACAGACGAGGAGCUUGCUCCUCUGACGUUAGCGGCGGACGGGUGAGUAACACGUGAAUAACCUACCUAUAAGACUGGGAUAACUUCGGGAAACCGGAGCUAAUACCGGAUAAUAUAUUGAACCGCAUGGUUCAAUAGUGAAAGACGGUUUUGCUGUCACUUAUAGAUGGAUCCGCGCCGCAUUAGCUAGUUGGUAAGGUAACGGCUUACCAAGGCAACGAUGCGUAGCCGACCUGAGAGGGUGUUCGCCCACCCUGGAACGGAGACACGCACCAUACGCCUACGGGAGGCACCAGUAGCGUAUGUUCCGCAGUGGUCGGGAGUCUGGCGGAGCAGCGCCACGUGUGUGAUAGAGGUCUUGCGAUCGUAAUGCUCUGUUAUGAGGGAUGAACAAAUUUGUAAGUAACUAUACCCGUCUUGACGGUACCUAAUCAGAAAGCCACGGCUAACUACGUG